rnacentral:rRNA from 1 species
UACAGAGGUUCCAAGCGUUGUUCGGAUUCACUGGGCGUAAAGGGUGCGCAGGCGGUCGGGUAAGUCUGAUGUGAAAUCUCCGGGCUCAACCCGGAAAGGGCAUUGGAUACUAUCCGGCUGGAGGGUUGCAGGGGGGACUGGAAUUCUCGGUGUAGCAGUGAAAUGCGUAGAUAUCGAGAGGAACACCCGUGGCGAAGGUAAGUCCCGGGACAACUCCUGACGAUCAUGCACGAAAGCUAGGGGAGCAAACAGG